CAGGGUGCUGACUCUCUUUUGAUGCACUGGCCUCUGGAGGAGGAGAGCUAUGACAGAGCAAAACCUCUUCCGGAGCAGAGACAAAGUGCUCAAGCCACGGUGCAGUGAUCUAAGACAGAGUCACCAGCUGAGUAAGGUGGGAAGGGAUGUGGUGGGCCCCUAUCACGACGCUCAGAGACGAGUCAGCCGGGCCGUGAGGGAUAGCUCAAGUCUACCCCGGCUGUAGGACUCUGCUAAAGAGCCUCUUGGAGAUUAAGUAGAGAGGAUGGAACAGAGGCAGAACACGCCCCCAAACCAUUAGUACCAAUCAGCUGUCUCCAGCUUCCUGAAUAGCCUAUCAUAGCUCAUCUCUCAUCCUCCUGCAAAGGCGAUUGGUGCAAGGAAAUUAAAGACUUGGCGGCUGCAAAAAAGGCAAAAGAAUUUCAAGCUGAUCUUUUCACCUGAGGUGGGCGGGAGGAAGGAACUGGAGCAUACUGAGCAGGAAUCAGGCAGUAUCCAGAACAGACACCUACCUACCGAACUGAACUCACUCCCUGCGCUUGCUGUUCCCCGAUGUCCAAGAUCAGACUCCACCUCCUGCUGUUGGGGACUCUGCUAAGAGCAGGCUGGUCCCCAGCUGUUGGUAUCAGGGCUCCCCAACCACCCCCACCCGCGGCAGGAGCCUCGGAGAGAAAACGGCAAGCACCCAGCUACAUUCAGGCCUGUCUACGAUUCCAGAAAUGAGGGGCAGAAGUCAUUUAUUGCAGAAGCCAAAGUCCAAAAGUCACAUGUCUCAGCUUUAGCUGACAACUUGACACAGCCAAGAGUCACCCAAGAAAGGAGUCUCAGUUGGAAGAUUGCCCAGGUCACAUUGGCUGGUAGUCAUGUCUACGGGGAUCCGGUCUCGGUUGUUGAUUGAUAAAGGAAGGA